rnacentral:rRNA from 1 species
AGGGGGGGUGCUUACCUGCAAGUCGAACGAGGGCCAUGGAGCUUGCUCCGGAAGACCUAGUGGCGAACGGGUGCGUAACACGUGAGAAACCUGCCCCGAUCUCUGGGAUAACAGUUGGAAACGACUGCUAAUACCGGAUGCCGUCACACCGCUUCAUGGCGGAGUGCCGAAAGAUUUAUCGGAUCGGGAGGGUCUCGCGGCCUAUCAGCUAGUUGGAGAGGUAACGGCUCACCAAGGCAUCGACGGGUAGCUGGUCUGAGAGGAUGAUCAGCCACACUGGGACUGAGACACGGCCCACACUCCUACGGGAGGCAGCAGUGGGGAAUCUUGCACAAUGGGCGAAAGCCUGAUGCAGCAACGCCGCGUGCGGGAAGAAGGCCCUAGGGUUGUAAACCGCUUUCAGUAGGGAAGAAAAUGACGGUACCUACAGAAGAAGGUGCGGCCAACUACGUGCCAGCAGCCGCGGUGACACGUAGGCACCAAGCGUUAUCCGGAUUUAUUGGGCGUAAAGAGCUCGUAGGCGGUUUGGUAAGUCGGGUGUGAAAACUCUGGGCUCAACCCAGAGAGGCCACCCGAUACUGCUAUGACUAAAGUACGGUAGGGGAGCGGGGAAUUCAUGGUGUAGCGGUGAAAUGCGCACAUAUCAUGAGGAACACCAGCGGCGAACGCGCCGCUCUGGGCCGUAACUGACGCUGACGAGCGAAAGCAUGGGUAGCAAACAGGAUUAGAUACCCUGCUAGUCCAUGCCGUAACGUUGGGCACUAGUGUGGUCUCAAGCAACGAGCAUCGCGCGUCGCUAACGCAUUAAGUGCUCCGCCUGGGGGGAGUACGAUCCGCAAGAAUUAAAACCUCAAAGGGAAA